rnacentral:rRNA from 1 species
CCUUACUGCUCAGUAACACGUGGAUAACCUGCCCUUGGGUCCGGCAUAACCCCGGGAAACUGGGGAUAAUUCCGGAUAACGCAUAUAUGCUGGAAUGCUUUAUGCGUCAAAUGGAUUCGUCUGCCCAAGGAUGGAUCUGCGGCCUAUCAGGUAGUAGUGGGUGUAAUGUACCUACUAGCCAACAACGGGUACGGGUUGUGAGAGCAAGAGCCCGGAGAUGGAUUCUGAGACAUGAAUCCAGGCCCUACGGGGCGCAGCAGGCGCGAAAACUUUACAAUGCGGGAAACCGUGAUAAGGGGACACCGAGUGCUAGCAUCAUAUGCUGGCUGUCCAGGUGUGUAAACUACACCUGUUAGCAAGGGCCGGGCAAGACCGGUGCCAGCCGCCGCGGUAACACCGGCGGCCCGAGUGGUGAUCGUGAUUAUUGGGUCUAAAGGGUCCGUAGCCGGUUUGGUCAGUCUUCCGGGAAAUCUGAUAGCUUAACUAUUAGGCUUUCGGGGGAUACUGCCAGGCUUGGAACCGGGAGAGGUAAGAGGUACUACAGGGGUAGGAGUGAAAUCUUGUAAUCCCUGUGGGACCACCUGUGGCGAAGGCGUCUUACCAGAACGGGUUCGACGGUGAGGGACGAAAGCUGGGGGCACGAACCGGAUUAGAUACCCGGGUAGUCCCAGCCGUAAACGAUGCUCGCUAGGUGUCAGGCAUGGCGCGACCGUGUCUGGUGCCGCAGGGAAGCCGUGAAGCGAGCCACCUGGGAAGUACGGCCGCAAGGCUGAAACUUAAAGGAAUUGGCGGGGGAGCAC